rnacentral:rRNA from 1 species
UACAGAGGUGGCAAGCGUCGUUCGGAAUUACUGGGCGUAAAGGGCGAGUAGGUGGCCAUCUAAGUCAGACGUGAAAUCCCCCGGCUUAACCUGGGAACUGCGUCUGAUACUGGACGGCUUGAGUAUGGGAGAGGGAUGUAGAGUUCCAGGUGUAGCGGUGAAAUGCGUAGAUAUCUGGAGGAAUACCGGUGGCGAAGGCGGCAUCCUGGACCAUUACUGACACUGAUCCGCGAAAGCUAGGGGAGCAAACGGG